UUUGUACCUCUCCGUCCGAAAAUACUUAUCAUCAAAAUGGAUAAAAAGAGAUGUAUCUAGAACUAAAAUACAUCUAGAUACAUCCCCUUUCAUCCAUUUUGAUGACAAGUAUUUCCGGACAAAGGGAGUAGUAA
rfam:Triticum aestivum genome assembly, contig: Triticum_aestivum_CS42_TGACv1_scaffold_320653_4BL